AACGAACGCUGGCGGCGUGGAUAAGACAUGCAAGUCGAACGGGACUAAAUCUGUAGCAAUACAGGUUUAGUUUAGUGGCGAACGGGUGCGUAACACGUGGGCAAUCUGCCGAGAAGUGGGGGAUAGCUCGCCGAAAGGCGAAUUAAUACCGCAUAUGAUCAGUGAAGACAUCUUCACGACAUCAAAGCCGGGGCAACCUGGCGCUUCUUGAUGAGCCCGCGGCCUAUCAGCUAGUUGGUGAGGUAACGGCUCACCAAGGCUAUGACGGGUAGCUGGUCUGAGAGGACGACCAGUCACACUGGAACUGAGACACGGUCCAGACACCUACGGGUGGCAGCAGUCGAGUAAUUUUUCUCAAGUGGGGAAA
rnacentral:rRNA from 1 species